CCGCCAACACUGGGACUGAGAACUGCCCAGACUCCUACGGGAGGCUGCAGUCGAGAAUCAUUCACAAUGGGCGAAAGCCUGAUGAUGCGACGCCGUGUGAGCGAUGAAGGCCUUCGGGUUGUAAAGCUCUUUAGCGAGGGGACAAGGCAGAUCUAAUAAGACGAGAUUUGUUUGAGGGUACCUCGUAAAGAAGCACCGGCUAACUC
rnacentral:rRNA from 1 species